AACCUCCGCAAUGUGAGAAAUCGCGACGGGGGGAUCCCAAGUGCCAUUCUUAACGGGAUGGCUUUUCAUUAGUGUAAAGAGCUUUUGGAAUAAGGGCUGGGCAAGACCGGUGCCAGCCGCCGCGGUAACACCGGCAGCUCUAGUGGUAGCAGUUUUUAUUGGGCCUAAAGCGUCCGUAGCCGGUUUAAUAAGUCUCUGGUGAAAUCCUGUAGCUUAACUGUGGGAAUUGCUGGAGAUACUAUUAGACUUGAGAUCGGGAGAGGUUAGAGGUACUCCCAGGGUAGAGGUGAAAUUCUGUAAUCCUGGGAGGACCGCCUGUUGCGAAGGCUUCUAACUGGAACGAUUCUGACGGUGAGGGACGAAAGUUAGGGGCGCGAACCGGAUUAGAUACCCGGGUAGUCCUAACUGUAAACGAUGCGGACUUGGUGUUGGGGUGGCUUUGAGCUGCUCCAGUGCCGAAGGGAAGCUGUUAAGUCCGCCGCCUGGGAAGUACGGUCGCAAGACUGAAACUUAAAGGAAUU
rnacentral:rRNA from 1 species